GACGAACGCUGGCGGCGUGCUUAACACAUGCGAGUCGAACGGAAAGGCCCUGCUUUUGUGGGGUGCUCGAGUGGCGAACGGGUGAGUAACACGUGAGUAACCUGCCCUUGACUUUGGGAUAACUUCAGGAAACUGGGGCUAAUACCGGAUAGGAGCUCCUGCUGCAUGGUGGGGGUUGGAAAGUUUCGGCGGUUGGGGAUGGACUCGCGGCUUAUCAGCUUGUUGGUGGGGUAGUGGCUUACCAAGGCUUUGACGGGUAGCCGGCCUGAGAGGGUGACCGGCCACAUUGGGACUGAGAUACGGCCCAGACUCCUACGGGAGGCAGCAGUGGGGAAUAUUGCACAAUGGGCGGAAGCUUGAUGCAGCAACGCCGCGUGCGGGAUGACGGCCUUCGGGUUGUAAACCGCUUUCGCCUGUGACGAAGCGUGAGUGACGGUAAUGGGUAAAGAAGCACCGGCUAACUACGUG
rnacentral:rRNA from 1 species